rnacentral:lncRNA from 1 species
ACACACCUACACCUUGACAACAACCGUUUUUCCCUCAAAAAUAGAUCUGAGAGAGAGCCUACCCCAUCUUCUUCCUUAAACAACAAGAAAAAAACUAGGUCCAAAGAGAACCCGCAAAGGCAGCUGAAUCUCGUCUGCUUCUCCUCCUUCAACAGAGGCAGCUUCCUUUUUCAUCCUUAAAUCACGCCCGAAGCCACUCCAAAUCCAACCGAAAAAGAACUUUAAAAUAAUCCCAAAACCUCAGCCAAACACUACCCUUUUACACCUGAAACCAAGCUCGAAACUAGCUGAAAAAUUAGCCACAAAACCAGUCAAAAACUAGCUUUCAAGCCUUCAUAAACACAGCUGAUAAACACCAUGUAAAUCAGCCACAUAACAGCCUUAAAACUAGCUGCAAAUAGCCAUGAAAUCCCCUCAAAACCCAGCUGCAAACUCACUCCAUAAACCCCCCAAAUCCAGCUUCAUCUCCACCCCAAACCAAGCUGAAAACAGUCACAAAAUUAGCUCUAAAAAGCGACCAAAAUUUCACUAAAACAGUCAAAAAACAGCCACCAAACUGCUAAAAAAUAACUCCCAAAACCCAGCAAAAUCACCUCUAAAAAGCUCUUCAAACACUGUAAAAAACACACCAGUAGUUCUAGCAAAACGCAACAGCGGUUGGUUUCUCAAAUUCCAUUUUCAAAAUCAGUUUUGAAGUCAUUUGAACUUAGUCUAUCAAGGUCGUCGAGGUCCCCCGGUUUGAGGUUCUCGUUUGCUUGAAGAUUCGAUAAUACUUGCAAUUGUAAAGGUUCGAUCUUGUUACAGAUCUAUGUAUAUGCUUGAAUUCUUAAUUUGUUGUUUUGGUUAGAAUUGUUUUACAUCUUUUGAUUAGUUAUUUCCUUAUUACUUCUUUUUCGAUUUGUUUAGCGAGUUCUUUCAUGAGAUUUGCAUAUUGUCGGUUCCCUGUUACUCUUGAUUUGUGAACAAGGUUGCUUUAUUUGGUCAAUUGGAGUUCAUCCUUUGCUAUGUGGUCAUACAUGUUUUAUGGUGCUAUUUGGUUCAUUUUUAAUCGUUGGUAAUUAGUCUACAACAACUCAAGAGUAAUAUGAUUUGUAAAUGAACUCAUUUAUGUGCUUAAUUGUUCACUUUGUUCAUUUAUGCAAACUUAAUGAGUAUUCAAUUGUUGUAAUCUCAUAUUCAGUUAUGUUGAGUUUGGACGCUUGUGUUUGAGGCAUGGUACAUGGUGGCAGAUUACUCUCAUUUGGGGAAAGUUUGUAUGCGCAUGUGAGGGAAAUGAACCUUUACCCUAUACGAUUGAGCUAGUAUUGCAAAGCCCAGUUAUCUUAAUAUUAAGCUGGCCAAUUACGACUCAAAUAGCAUUGGGUCUUUACAUCUAGUCUCAAAUAUAGGAAAAUACCUUAUAAACGUGAUUAUAGUUUGGGUAUACUUUAAAUCGAACUAACUAUUACAAUUAUGUACACGCAUGCGUGACAUAGUUGUGAUGCCAAAAAUAAACCAAGGUAUACGUUCGCGUGACCUUGGUCAAACCUUUUAAUAAAUAAAAUGACUUAAUCAAAUAUUCGUAGAAAUGCUUAAGGCGUGGUUUUUAAAUUACUAUCGUGAUUGCGAUUUUUUCGAAUAAAUUCAAAGUAUGUGUUCGCGCGACUUUGACCAAAACUUUUUUUUCUUAAAUAAACUAAGUGUUAGGAUUUGAAUACACGUACGCGUGACAUGAUUUUUGACACACUAAAACUAAACGAGUAUACAUACGCGUAACUCAUCUUAUGUUAAUUCUUAAAUAUGGAUUAUCAAGUGAUUAAUGGCGGUAAAAAGUAAAAUAAACAUAAGUCCUAAAAUGAGUAAUUAGACAAAAUAAGCCAAGUAUAAAUUUCCAAGCGAUCGUGCUAAAACUACGAAACCCGAGAAUGCCUAACACUUUCUCCCGAUUAACAGAAUUUCUUACCUAGUUUUUCUGGUUUCGCAGACUUUUAAAUGAAGUCAAAUUUUCCUCGAUUUGGGAUUUAAAGUAAACCAGUGACUUGGUACACCAUAAAUUAUUUCAAGUGGCGACUCUGAAAUUAAAUAAAUAACCCCACAUCGAUUAAUGUCACUAAAAUUGGAAAAAACUCUCGUAUAUCCCCCCUCGGGUAAAAAGGAGGUGUGACAGCUCUGGCGACUCUGCUGGGGACAUGUGAACCCAGAAUCUCUGGUUCAGGGUUCAAGAAUUCGAGUUUGUUAAUGUGAUUUUUACUUGGCUUUAUUAAUUAUUGCAUACUGUAUUUUGUGGGCCUAAUGUGCUAAUUGCUGCUUAUUUACCGCUUUGAUAUUAUUUGAACUGUAUUAAACUGUCUUCUUAUGCCUCCCUUCUGAGUUUUCUAAACAAUUGUGCACAUAUUCGUGUGGCCCGCUUUUCUGUUAAAGGUCGUACCAAAUAGAACGAGGAUGGAUCAUCACUAGGACGGGUAGUCUUUCGUGCUCCCGGUACGUCCCUCCCAC